UGGGGAAUUUUGGACAAUGGGCGCAAGCCUGAUCCAGCCAUGCCGCGUGUCUGAAGAAGGCCUUCGGGUUGUAAAGGACUUUUGUCAGGGAAGAAAAGGGCGGGGUUAAUACCCCUGUCUGAUGACGGUACCUGAAGAAUAAGCACCGGCUAACUACGUGCCAGCAGCCGCGGUAAUACGUAGGGGGCGGGCGUUAAUCGGAAUUACUGGGCGUAAAGCGGGCGCAGACGGUUACUUAAGCAGGAUGUGAAAUCCCCGGGCUCAACCUGGGAACUGCGUUCUGAACUGGGUGACUAGAGUGUGUCAGAGGGAGGUAGAAUUCCACGUGUAGCAGUGAAAUGCGUAGAGAUGUGGAGGAAUACCGAUGGCGAAGGCAGCCUCCUGGGAUAACACUGACGUUCAUGCCCGAAAGCGUGGGUAGCAAACA
rnacentral:rRNA from 1 species